rnacentral:lncRNA from 1 species
GUCAGGGGGAGCUGGGUGGUGUCCUCAGAGGCAACAAGGAGCUGCUGGUUGUUGUCCCUCCAUUUUUUCCUUCUGACUCCAGAAGCUUGAGUGCCUUUUGCCUGCCAGAAAGCAGCACUGACAUCAGAGAGGCUUCAGCUGCCAUGCAGCCUCCGAGUCCUGAUGCUGUUUUCUGUGAUAGACGCCCAGUGCAUGCACCAGUGAGUCCUGCUGAGGGCUGGGCUGCUGUGUGAGGCUCCUCUGGGGGCUGAUGCUCAGAGGCUGAUAUCAUCGUGCUGGAACCAGGCUUUGUGGCGACAUGCCUCUCCCUCCCUCCAGCAUCCAGCUCACCCUGGCCACAUGUGCAGCCCAGGCCACGACCUCGGCCUUGGCUGGGCUCUGACGCCCAUUUAACAGUCAGAGGCUGGAAAGGGAGUUGCUGCUGUGCUAUUUUUAACCAGCUGGACAGUUAAAUAAUUCAGAGGCAGACACACACAGAGUGGUCUGGGCUGUGUGUGGAUCUGAGAGGGAACAAGAGCAUUGUAUCAACCCUGCUGGGCUUGCUUAACCUCAUCAAGCAUGGGUUCUCAGGCUCUUUAAUACAAACAUGAAACAAAAACUAAACUUUCAGAAGUAAAAUCCCUGCCUUACUGGCGUCAAUGGGACUCCUGGCUCUGAGUGCAAUGGAGCCUGGAUCACACUUAGCUGCAAGGCAAGAGCUGUUCAGUAUUUCCUUGCUUUCUAAUGCUGCAUAAUUUUUUUUCCAUGACAAUAAAACCCACUUAUGGUGUGUAGAGUCCA